AUUGAACGCUGGCGGCAUGCCUUACACAUGCAAGUCGAACGGCAGCAUGAUCUAGCUUGCUAGAUUGAUGGCGAGUGGCGAACGGGUGAGUAAUACAUCGGAACGUGCCCUGUAGUGGGGGAUAACUAGUCGAAAGAUUAGCUAAUACCGCAUACGACCUGAGGGUGAAAGUGGGGGACCGCAAGGCCUCAUGCUAUAGGAGCGGCCGAUGUCUGAUUAGCUAGUUGGUGAGGUAAAGGCUCACCAAGACGACGAUCAGUAGCUGGUCUGAGAGGACGAUCAGCCACACUGGGACUGAGACACGGCCCAGACUCCUACGGGAGGCAGCAGUGGGGAAUUUUGGACAAUGGGCGAAAGCCUGAUCCAGCAAUGCCGCGUGUGUGAAGAAGGCCUUCGGGUUGUAAAGCACUUUUGUCCGGAAAGAAAUGGCUCUGGUUAAUACCUGGGGUCGAUGACGGUACCGGAAGAAUAAGGACCGGCUAACUACGUG
rnacentral:rRNA from 1 species